AGGGUUUGAUCCUGGCUCAGGAAGAACGCUAGCGGCAGGCCUUAUACAUGCAAGUCGAGGGGCAGCAUUUACUUCGGUAAAUGGCGACCGGCGCACGGGUGAGUAACGCGUAUGCAACCUACCUUUAACUGGGGCAUAGCUCGAGGAAACUCGAAUUAAUUCCCCAUAGUACAUUAUAAUAUCACAUGAUAUAAAUGUUAAAGAUUUAUCGGUUAAAGAUGGGCAUGCGUCUGAUUAGUUUGUUGGUAAGGUAACGGCUUACCAAGGCUACGAUCAGUAGGGGGUCUGAGAGGAUGAUCCCCCACACUGGUACUGAGACACGGACCAGACAUCUACGGAUGGCAGCAGUAAGGAAUAUUGGGCAAUGGGCGCAAGCCUGACCCAGCCAUGCCGCGUGCAGGAUGACGACCCUAUGGGUUGUAAACUGCUUUUAUAUAGGAAGAAAAUACUCUUGCGAGAGGAUCUGACGGUACUAUAUGAAUAAGGACCGGCUAACUCCGUGCCAGCAGCCGCGGUAAUACGGAGGGUUCAAGCGUUUUCCGGAUUUAUUGGGUUUAAAGGGUGCGUAGGUGGUUUACUAAGUCAGUGGUGAAAUCCUGCAGCUCAACUGUAGAACUGCCAUUGAUACUGGUAAACUUGAGUUUGGUUUAGGUAAGCGGAAUUUAUGAUG
rnacentral:rRNA from 1 species